AGAUCGUUACCGUCAUUAUCACCAUGCAAAAACCCUCGCUAUAAAAAGGAUUCCGAACCAAGUCAAAGUCAUGCAUAAGCCAUUCAAAGGUUCGAGAAAACUCUUAACUAACAAAAAUUUUCCAGCUCCUCUAAACCAAGUAUACAAUCAGAAAUGCAGUCGUCUCGAAUUGUCCUCCUUUGCGCUGUGGUCCUCGUGGUUGUCGUUUCCGUAACUGAGGGGCAAAUUGGGAGCACGGGGUGCAGUCGGAAGUGGGCGCCGGCCGGGUGGUGUUGGCGGUACUGUUCGGGAUCUUCGGGGAGCUGGUGUUACACGGGAAAUCAAGGGCCAUGUGAGACGGCCUCCUGCACGGGCGGAUCCUGUUCUGGCAUCAGCUGCGAAGGAGCGGAUGGUGGGUGUGUCGGCCAUUGUUCUUAAUUUUAAUCAAGUAAAUUCAGAUACAGGAAUUAACAUAUUUACUACUUCAAAAUCUUCAAAUUAAUCAAUUCAUUUCCACUAUUCUUUACUUUAUGAUUAUAGAUUCAUUAAUAAAAUUUAUUAAUGCAACCUUCA